UGCAAAUCAAUUUAAAUUGAUUAUAAUUUAUUUAUUAAUUUUAAAAAAAUUAAAUUAUAAUUAUAUUAAAAAUAAUUAUUAGUUAUUUUGUUUUAGUAAAUUGUAUUGAAAUAAUAAUUUUAAUAAUAGUUAAUUAGUAUUGUGAAAGAUAAUUGAAAAAUAAUGAAAAAUAUUUAUUUAAAAAGAAAAAUUUAUUAUUUGUACCUUGUGUAUCAGGGUUUAUUAAAUAAUUAAUAAAUAUUUAUUAAUCUCGAUUUUAUAAGAGUUAAUAAUUUAUGAAAGUUAAUGUAUUAUAAUUAUUUUUAAUAAAUUAUUUGAAAUGAAAUGUUAUUCGUUUAUAAAGAUAUCUAGUUUUCUUAGAAAUAAAUUUAAUUUAUAAAUUUUUAAUUUAUUUAUUAUUUAAUUAAUAAAUAAAAUUAUAAAUUUAAGUAUUUUAAGGGGUAAGCUUUAAAAUAAAUUAUUAAAAAUUUAAUGAAUUAUUAAUUGAAAUAUAUGUAUAGAAUUAGCAAUUAUUAUUAAGUUUAGUUAUAAAUUAUUUUAUGAUUAUAUAAUUUAUUAAUAUUUUAAUUUGUUUUUAUGAGAAUUUUUUUUUAAAUUAUUUUUAAAAAAAAAUAAUGAUAAAAUUAGUAUAUAUGUAUUAUAUAAAUAAAUAAAUUUGAUAAGUUUAUAUAAAGAAUUCGGCAAAUAAUUUACUCGCCUGUUUAACAAAAACAUGUCUUUUUGAGUUGUUUUCCAAGUUUAACCUGCCCAAUGAAUUUUUUAAUGGCCGCAGUAUUAUGACUGUGCAAAGGUAGCAUAAUCAAUAGUCUUUUAAUUGAAGGCUUGUAUGAAUGGUUGGACGAAGUAUAAUCUGUUUCAUAUAAAUUUAUUAUAGAAUUUUAUAUUUUAGUAAAAAAGCUAAAAUUUUUUUAAAAGACGAGAAGACCCUAUAAAUCUUUAUAUUUUUAAUUAUUUUAAUUUUUUUGAUUUAUUUUAUUUUAAUAUUUAGAUUUAUUUUGUUGGGGUGAUAAUAAAAUUUAAAUAACUUUUAAUUUGUUAAGACAUUGAUUUAUGAUUUAUUGAUCUAUUAUUAAUGAUUAUAAGAAUAAGUUACUUUAGGGAUAACAGCGUAAUUUUUUUGGAGAGUUCUUAUUGAUAAAAAAGUUUGCGACCUCGAUGUUGGAUUAAGAUGAAAUUUUAGGUGUAGUUGCUUAAAUAAUAAGUCUGUUCGACUUU
rnacentral:rRNA from 1 species